CCAGCAUAUAGCCAUAUGCUUAGCAAGCGCUUAGGCGUGCUGUGAAUUGCGACAGAAAGGGGAAUACCGAAAUGAAGGCGAACGUUUCAACCUCCGUCGUAUUUAUUGGUUUCCUAUUGCUUUUGAAUUUGGCGCCCGAGGCAGAGCCCAAGUACACUGGCAAUGAAUUGUAUCAAAGCAAGACACCGUCUAAACGGGUGAUAGCAAUGCCAGCACCAGAGCCGCAUCUACCAAGCCCUAAACCCAUAGCCAAAAGGCGACAGCUGACACUCAAGAUAGAUUGACUAAAACCCAGAUCGAUGACGAAAUGGUCCAACACCCAAGGAGGCCUAAGUCAAUAUUGAGUAGAUGAAAAUAUUUUAAUAGAUUACAAUAGCUGGCUAGUUUUCUUGUCUUCCGUGGUGGGUUGUGGUCUUAAAAAGAGGUCAAUGACUUCUUAACUGAAAGUAAUAAACGUAUCGCCGCAAAUAUGUUUUAGUCGAUUUGAAUAAAAUUUUAAUUCAAGAGA